rnacentral:rRNA from 1 species
UACGUAGGGUGCGAGCGUUGUCCGGAAUUACUGGGCGUAAAGAGCUCGUAGGUGGUUUGUCGCGUUGUUCGUGAAAACUCACAGCUUAACUGUGGGCGUGCGGGCGAUACGGGCAGACUGGAGUACUGCAGGGGAGACUGGAAUUCCUGGUGUAGCGGUGGAAUGCGCAGAUAUCAGGAGGAACACCGAUGGCGAAGGCAGGUCUCUGGGCCAUAACUGACGCUGAGAAGCGAAAGCAUGGGGAGCGAACAGG